rnacentral:rRNA from 1 species
GAUGUUCUAACGUUGACCCGUAAUCCGGGUUGCGGACAGUGUCUGGUGGGUAGUUUGACUGGGGCGGUCUCCUCCUAAAGAGUAACGGAGGAGCACGAAGGUUGGCUAAUCCUGGUCGGACAUCAGGAGGUUAGUGCAAUGGCAUAAGCCAGCUUGACUGCGAGCGUGACGGCGCGAGCAGGUGCGAAAGCAGGUCAUAGUGAUCCGGUGGUUCUGAAUGGAAGGGCCAUCGCUCAACGGAUAAAAGGUACUCCGGGGAUAACAGGCUGAUACCGCCCAAGAGUUCAUAUCGACGGCGGUGUUUGGCACCUCGAUGUCGGCUCAUCACAUCCUGGGGCUGAAGUAGGUCCCAAGGGUAUGGCUGUUCGCCAUUUAAAGUGGUACGCGAGCUGGGUUUAGAACGUCGUGAGACAGUUCGGUCCCUAUCUGCCGUGGGCGCUGGAGAACUGAGGGGGGCUGCUCCUAGUACGAGAGGACCGGAGUGGACGCAUCACUGGUGUUCGGGUUGUCAUGCCAAUGGCACUGCCCGGUAGCUAAAUGCGGAAGAGAUAAGUGCUGAAA